rnacentral:rRNA from 1 species
UGGUAAUGCCGGAUGCUCCAGUUGACCGCAUGGUCCUCUGGGAAAGCUUUUGCGGUAUGGGAUGGGGUCGCGUCCUAUCAGCUUGAUGGCGGGGUAACGGCCCACCAUGGCUUCGACGGGUAGCCGGCCUGAGAGGGCGACCGGCCACAUUGGGACUGAGAUACGGCCCAGACUCCUACGGGAGGCAGCAGUGGGGAAUAUUGCACAAUGGGCGCAAGCCUGAUGCAGCGACGCCGCGUGCGGGAUGACGGCCUUCGGGUUGUAAACCGCUUUUGACUGGGAGCAAGCCCUUCGGGGUGAGUGUACCUUUCGAAUAAGCACCGGCUAACUACGUGCCAGCAGCCGCGGUAAUACGUAGGGUGCAAGCGUUAUCCGGAAUUAUUGGGCGUAAAGGGCUCGUAGGCGGUUCGUCGCGUCCGGUGUGAAAGUCCAUCGCUUAACGGUGGAUCCGCGCCGGGUACGGGCGGGCUUGAGUGCGGUAGGGGAGACUGGAAUUCCCGGUGUAACGGUGGAAUGUGUAGAUAUCGGAAAAAGAACAC